UACGGGGGGAGCAAGCGUUGUUCGGAUUUACUGGGCGUAAAGGGCGCGUAGGCGGUCGUGACAAGUCACUUGUGAAAUCUCCGGGCUUAACUCGGAACGGUCAAGUGAUACUGUCGGACUAGAGUACAGAAGGGGCAACUGGAAUUCUCGGUGUAGCGGUGAAAUGCGUAGAUAUCGAGAGGGAACACCGGUUGGCGAAGGCGGGUCUCUGGGCCGAUACUGACGCUGAGGAGCGAAAGCGUGGGGAGCGAACAGG
rnacentral:rRNA from 1 species